CCGCUGGUGUACCAGUUGUUCUGCCAAGGGCAUCGCUGGGUAGCUAUGUGCGGACGGGAUAAGUGCUGAAAGCAUCUAAGCAUGAAGCCCCCCUCAAGAUGAGAUUUCCCAUAGCGCAAGCUAGUAAGAACCCUGAAAGAUGAUCAGGUUGAUAGGUCAGAGGUGGAAGCGUGGUAACAUGUGGAGCUGACUGAUACUAAUCGUUCGAGGACUUAACCAA
rnacentral:rRNA from 1 species